GGUUGUGGCUCAGCAGUAGAGUGCUCGCCCCGCACGUGUGAGACCCUGGGUUCGAUCCUCAGCAUCA
rnacentral:tRNA from 1 species